rnacentral:rRNA from 1 species
AAAACAUGUCUUUUUGAAUUUAAUUUAAAGUCUAAUCUGCCCACUGAUUUAAAAAUUAAAGGGCUGCAGUAAUUUGACUGUACAAAGGUAGCAUAAUCAUUAGUCUUUUAAUUGAAGACUUGUAUGAAGGAUUUGAUGAGAUAUAAACUGUCUCUAAUUUAAUAAUAGAAUUUAAUUUUUUAGUUAAAAAGCUAAAAUAAUUUUAAAAGACGAGAAGACCCUAUAGAGUUUAAUAGUUGAAAAUUAAUAUAUUUAUAUAAAAUUUAAUUAUAAUAUUUUAAAAAUUAUUUUAUUGGGGUGAUAAAAAAAUUAAAAAAACUUUUUUUUUAAUAAACAUUAAUAAUUGAUUAAUUGAUCCAGAAUUAUGAUUAAAAGAAAAAAUUACCUUAGGGAUAACAGCGUAAUAUUUUUUUUUAGUACAUAUAAGAAAAAAAGUUUGCGACCUCGAUGUUGGAUUAAGAUAAAAUUUAAAUGCAAAAGUUAAAAUU